rnacentral:lncRNA from 1 species
UUAGACUUGAAUAUAAAUUACUAUUCAAAAUUAUUAUCUUUUUGUGAUUCACUUUUUAAUUAGAUAAUUAAAUUGUUAAUUUUUCUAAUUUUGUUCGAUUAGGCCUAGACCUAUCACGUGUAACGUAACGUGGUGAUUUGCCUAGAUUUACCACAGCACCACCACCUUCCUGUAGCCAUAAUUUUUGCUCCUCAUCCUUCUCUAUACUCUCCCUAGCAUAAACCCAUAACCUUCAUCACUAACAUAACACCAACAACAAAAAAAUCUCACCAAAAUAAUAUAUAUGUAUGUAUGUAUAGCGGAUUGAUCUUUUUUAUGGUUUGCUCCCGUUGUUGGUUAACCAGAUGGAUGGAUGAUAGAGGAGGAAAAAAUUUCGGUGACAGAUCUAAGAGUUUCAAACGGAGUCUCAAGAACAGAGCCGGAGAGAUUUUCCGAUUGAAGAUUGUGAGUUUCAGAAUGGUUUCACAAAUGUUGAAAAUUUUGUGGUGAUGCAAGUGGAUUUGUUGUUUGCGUCUGAUACGUGGUGUGGUGGGAUUCUUGGGAAUUGGGAU